GAAAAAUCUCAGCACACAAUAAAUGUACUCGUUUGUACAGUCCUAAAUUAUUUCUCCUGGCAAAUAAAAUGACUAGAUCUUGCCCGUGAAAACUGUCUUUGCUCACUGAAAUGUUCAUGGUGAGAACAACGAAAGUUUGGCUUAUUCACCAGUCCUGAAAAUCUGUUUUUUCUUUCUGUCUCCAGACUCGUGAGAACACAUUACCGCAUGCUUCUGAAAUAAAAAGAUUAAAGUGAAUCAUCUCCAGAAGGAACAUCAAACAAAGCUUGGUGUCGUGUGCACCACAGCAGCUGUGCCAGCAGGGACUCAGGAAGAAGUU
rnacentral:lncRNA from 1 species